rnacentral:rRNA from 1 species
AGUGGGGGAUAGCUCGGCGAAAGCCGGAUUAAUACCGCAUAUGCCCUGAGGGGGAAAGGAGGGGAUCCGCAAGGACCUUUCGCUUUCGGAGUGGCCGAUAUCGGAUUAGCUAGUUGGUGGGGUAAAGGCUUACCAAGGCGACGAUCCGUAGCUGGUCUGAGAGGACGACCAGCCACACUGGAACUGAGACACGGUCCAGACUCCUACGGGAGGCAGCAGUGGGGAAUUUUGGACAAUGGGGGCAACCCUGAUCCAGCCAUGCCGCGUGAGUGAAGAAGGCCUUCGGGUUGUAAAGCUCUUUCAGACGGAAAGAAACGGUCACGGCCAAUACCCGUGACUAAUGACGGUACCGUCAGAAGAAGCACCGGCUAACUACGUGCCAGCAGCCGCGGUAAUACGUAGGGUGCGAGCGUUAAUCGGAAUUACUGGGCGUAAAGCGUGCGCAGGCGGUUUUGUAAGACAGACGUGAAAUCCCCGGGCUUAACCUGGGAACUGCGUUUGUGACUGCAAGACUAGAGUGCGGCAGAGGGGGGUAGAAUUCCA